CGGGGGGAGCAAGCGUUGUUCGGAUUUACUGGGCGUAAAGGGCGCGUAGGCGGCCACCGCAAGUCGACUGUGAAAUCUCCGGGCUUAACCCGGAAAGGUCAGCCGAUACUGCGGGGCUAGAGUGCAGAAGGGGCAACUGGAAUUCUCGGUGUAGCGGUGAAAUGCGUAGAUAUCGAGAGGAACACCUGCGGCGAAGGCGGGUUGCUGGGCUGACACUGACGCUGAAGCGCGAAAGCUAGGGGAGCGAACGGGAUUAGAUACCCCGGUAGUCCUAGCCUUAAACGAUGAAUGCUUGGUGUCUGGGGUUUUAUAGUCCCCGGGUGCCGUCGCUAACGCUUUAAGCAUUCCGCCUGGGGAGUACGGUCGCAAGACUGA
rnacentral:rRNA from 1 species